rnacentral:rRNA from 1 species
CCUACGGGGUGCAGCAGUGGGGAAUAUUGGACAAUGGGCGAAAGCCUGAUCCAGCCAUGCCGCGUGUGUGAAGAAGGCCUUCGGGUUGUAAAGCACUUUCAGUGGGGAAGAAAGCCUUGGGGCUAAUACCCUCGAGGAAGGACAUCACCCACAGAAGAAGCACCGGCUAACUCCGUGCCAGCAGCCGCGGUAAUACGGAGGGUGCGAGCGUUAAUCGGAAUUACUGGGCGUAAAGCGCGCGUAGGCGGUCUGAUAAGCCGGUUGUGAAAGCCCCGGGCUCAACCUGGGAACGGCAUCCGGAACGGUCAGGCUAGAGUGCAGGAGAGGAAGGUAGAAUUCCCGGUGUAGCGGGGAAAUGCGUAGAGAGCGGGAGGAAUACCAGUGGCGAAGGCGGCCUUCUGGACUGACACUGACGCUGGGGUGCGAAAGCGUGGGUAGCAAACAGGAUUAGAUACCCGAGUAGUC